UACGAAGGGUGCAAACGUUGCUCGGAAUCAUUGGGCGUAAAGCGCACGUAGGCGGCUUCGCAAGUCGGAUGUGAAAUCCCAUGGCUCAACCAUGGACGUGCAUCCGAAACUGCGGAGCUUGAGUACUGAAGAGGAUCGCGGAAUUCCCGGUGUAGAGGUGAAAUUCGUAGAUAUCGGGAGGAACACCAGUGGCGAAGGCGACUACCUGGCCUGUUUCUUGACGCUGAGGCGCGAAAGCUAGGGGAGCAAACGGG
rnacentral:rRNA from 1 species